rnacentral:misc_RNA from 1 species
ACACGAAUGCCGGUCAUUCAGUGAGUGUAUGACACUGCUAACGGUAUUCUAAAAUGAGAUUGCAACGCGUCGACCGCUUUAGAUCAGUUUAUUAGCAUAUUUCUCUGUACGUUAAUGGGAUACGGUGCUCAUGAUGGAUGUACACCAAUUGCAUCAAAUGCCGAAUAAAAGUGAAGGAGAAUUAACUCCAGAAGAAAAAUGGAGGAUAGAGCAUAUAAAGAUGCACGAGCAGCAUCGAGGCCAUGAAUCUAUGCAUGCGGAAAUGCUGCUUAUAUUGUUGGUGACAUUAACAGUAGCACAGAUUAUACUGGUUGAAUGGAAGAAGAGGCAUUUCAAGUCAUAUCAGCUUGUAACGCUAGUAGCCAUGUGGAUUAUUCCAUUUGGAGUAAGCUUAAAGAACCAUUGGUGGAGAUUUAUAUUUUUAUGGCUUUUAUCUUCAUGUAUAACAGCUCUAGUAGUAAGAAAAGCUAUGCAAAGACCAAUAGAAGGUACCACACCUAGACUCGUGUACAAAUGGUUUUAUUUUCUUUAUAAGCUCAGUUAUGCGCUAGGUAUAAUUGGAUAUAUCUUUGUGUUAUUUACAUUUUUUGGCAUAAAUAUCCUAUUAAAUAUUAAACCUCAUGUUUGGAUGGACUGCGGCAUGUUGUUUUUAUUUUAUGGUCUUUACUUUGGAGUAUUAGGGAGAGACAUUGCUGAAAUGUGUGCUGACACAAUGGCAUCACAUAUUGGGUAUUAUACUCCGGACAGUAUUCCAACGAGAGUCUUGGAACCAAAUGUUUGCGCAGUAUGCGGAAAUAAACUUCUGGUUUCCGAGCACGAGGAAGGUGUGAUCGAAAAUACGUAUAAACUUACUUGCGAACAUGUUUUCCACGAAUUUUGUAUUAGGGGUUGGUGCAUUGUUGGAAAGAAGCAAACUUGUCCUUACUGCAAAGAGAAAGUCGACUUAACGAAAAUGUUUCGCAAUCCUUGGCAACGGCCACACGUUUUAUAUGGUCAACUAUUGGAUUGGUUAAGGUGGCUAGUUGCUUGGCAACCUUUAAUUUUGUUUCUAGUUCAAGGUAUCAAUUGGGCUCUGGGCCUUGAAGUAACAGAUAUGAAGGAGGAUCAGCGUGAAAGAACACUCAGUGUAAUGGAUUAACGACUACCGCAUGCCGUAUUGUUGUAUAAGUUUCUCUGCUAGCAUCGACAGAUAAGUUCCUAUUUACACAUUCGCAAUCUCUCACUUAAGAAAUAGUAGAUAUAAGGAAGAAUAUGAUGUCGACCGCAGAGUCCAAGAUACAUAGCUAUAGACACGCAGACUGUAGACGCAACAUCGACAUCGGGACGGACAAUUUUCGCUAACGAUUUCAACGCGGUAACGACGAGGACUAUGACGACGACAUUGGUCGCAAGGACGAAAGGGGAAAGUCUCGCGACGAUCGACGGCGA